rnacentral:tRNA from 1 species
GCAGGGAUAGCUCAGCGGUAGAGCGCGAGAUGAAACAAAGCUGUAUUCGACUGUUCACCGAAACGGUUGCGUAGAAUACAGAUACUUCUGGGAUCUCGAUGUCGGUGGUUCGAUUCCACUUCCUUGCA